UACGAAGGGGGCUAGCGUUGUUCGGAAUUACUGGGCGUAAAGCGCACGUAGGCGGGUCGUUAAGUCAGGGGUGAAAUCCCAGAGCUCAACUCUGGAACUGCCUUUGAUACUGGCGACCUAGAGUCCGGAAGAGGUUAGUGGAAUUCCCAGUGUAGAGGUGAAAUUCGUAGAUAUUGGGAAGAACACCAGUAGCGAAGGCGGCUAACUGGUCCGGUACUGACGCUGAGGUGCGAAAAGCGUGGGGAGCAAACAGG
rnacentral:rRNA from 1 species